UACGUAGGGGGCUAGCGUUGUCCGGAAUCAUUGGGCGUAAAGCGCGUGUAGGCGGUUCGGUAAGUCCGCUGUGAAAGUCGGGGGCUCAACCCUCGGAUGCCGGUGGAUACUGUCGGACUAGAGUACGGAAGAGGCGAGUGGAAUUCCUGGUGUAGCGGUGAAAUGCGCAGAUAUCGGGAAGAACACCGGCGGCGAAAGCGGAUCCCUGGGCCUUACCUGACGCUCAGGCGCGAAAGCUAGGGGAGCGAACAGG
rnacentral:rRNA from 1 species